rnacentral:rRNA from 1 species
ACUCCUACGGGAGGCAGCAGUAGGGAAUAUUGGGCAAUGGUCGGAAGACUGACCCAGCCAUGCCGCGUGCAGGAAGACGGCCUAUUGGGUUGUAAACUGCUUUUAUCUGGGAAGAAAAGGGCCAUGCGUGGCAAAUUGCCGGUACCAGAUGAAUAAGCACCGGCUAACUCCGUGCCAGCAGCCGCGGGUAAUACGGAGGGGUGCAAGCGUUGUCCGGAUUUAUUGGGUUUAAAGGGUGCGUAGGCGGCUGAUUAAGUCAGCGGUGAAAGACUCCGGCUCAACCGGAGCAGUGCCGUUGAUACUGGUUAGCUUGAGUGCUGCAGGGGUACAUGGAAUUGAUGGUGUAGCGGUGAAAUGCAUAGAUACCAUCAGGAACACCGAUAGCGAAGGCAUUGUACUGGGCAGCAACUGACGCUGAGGCACGAAAGCGUGGGGAUCGAACAGGAUUAGAUACCCUGGUAGGAUAGCG